CAGAGCUGAGAUGGGAUGGCGUCCCGUUCACUGCUGGCUCCUGCCUUGGCCACUGGAUAGGCUGCGGUCACCCACAGCCCUGAACUGGAAUAAGUGGGUCACAGUUUCCAAGAAGCUCUCGACCAUGUUAAGUGACGACAUACUACACUUCAAAAAAAAAAAAAAA